GGUCAAUCUCAUCUUGACACACGCAUCGAUAAGUCAAGUACUUGACUACACCCAGCAGCCUUCCAUCACUGAAUUGGAAAUUCAGAUAGUCCAGUGCCUAAGUGCAGUGAGUUGCUUGCAUGUCACCGUGGCGGUCUCAGGUCGGAGGGAUAUUUAUACCCAUAUUCUAUCGGAGCAAAUUUUGACAGUAGAAAUAGCUCCAGUGUCGGUCACGUUCAGUGCAGAUAUACCCUUACAUCUCACCUGUAUGCCAUACCAGUGUCUCCACACUCAUUGGUUAAGAGGACAACCAACCUAUAUGGCACACAACGACCUAUGCUUGAUAAACGUUG
rnacentral:lncRNA from 1 species